AAGAGGCCGCAGCACUAUAUCUGAACACAUUGUCGUUCCGUCAGGGAAAAAUGAAGGAUGAAUUACUAUUCUAAGUUAAACUGGCGUAACUCAGUUCUUUAGCCUGGGAUGAGAAAGAGGGUGGUGAUCCAGUCAUUUGUCAUAUCUUGAAUAGAAGAUCAACCAUACAUGGUAUAAGAAAUGAUAAUUUGACUAUGAGAAACCAAGUUGGAGGGUAAGGUGGUCCAGCUGUUUUACAAGGGGCAUGAAUAGGUAGUAUGGUUUUAGGAUUAGUGUUCACCAUGAGCAUACAUUUGUAGAGCGUAAUACAGCUGAAAACAUAUUUUUGUGCUAUAAUGUGAGUA
rnacentral:lncRNA from 1 species